GACGAACGCUGGCGGCGUGCUUAACACAUGCAAGUCGAACGAAGUGGCGAACGGGUGAGUAACGCGUAAUCAACCUGCCCUUCAGAGGGGGACAACAGUUGGAAACGACUGCUAAUACCGCAUACUGAAGGAGGGGACUGGGUCUGAUUAGCUGGUUGGAGGGGUAACGGCCCACCAAGGCGAUGAUCGGUAGCCGGUCUGAGAGGAUGAACGGCCACAUUGGAACUGAGAAACGGCCCAGACUCCUACUGGAAGCAGCUGUGGGGAAUCUUCCGCAAUGGACGAAAGUCUGACGGUGCGACGCCGCGUAAGUGAUGACGGCCUUCGGGUUGUAAAACUCUGUUAAUCGGGACGCGGUACCGGAAUAGAAAGCCACGGCUAACUACGUGCCAGCAGCCGCGGUAAUAC
rnacentral:rRNA from 1 species